rnacentral:rRNA from 1 species
UACGUAGGGUGCGAGCGUUAAUCGGAAUUACUGGGCGUAAAGCGUGCGCAGGCGGCUUCGCAAGUCAGCCGUGAAAUCCCCGGGCUUAACCUGGGAAUGGCGUUUGAAACUACGGAGCUGGAGUAUGGCAGAGGGGGGUGGAAUUCCACGUGUAGCGGUGAAAUGCGUAGAUAUGUGGAGGAACACCGAUGGCGAAGGCAGCCCCCUGGGCCAAUACUGACGCUCAUGCACGAAAGCGUGGGGAGCAAACAGG